AUUGAACGCUGGCGGCAGGCCUAACACAUGCAAGUCGAGCGCGAAAGUUCUUCGGAAUGAGUAAAGCGGCGGACGGGUGAGUAAUACAUGGGAAUCUGCCUGGUAGUGGGGGACAACGUUUCGAAAGGAACGCUAAUACCGCAUACGCCCUACGGGGGAAAGGGGGGAUCUUCGGACCUCUCGCUAUCAGAUGAGCCCAU
rnacentral:rRNA from 1 species